CGUCCGCUCGGGCAUUGAGAUUGACCCAAUGGCGCGCUUGCGCCACGACC
rnacentral:rRNA from 1 species